rnacentral:rRNA from 1 species
UACGUAGGGUGCGAGCGUUUAAUCGGAAUUACUGGGCGUAAAGCGUGCGUAGGUGGUUCGUUGUGUCUGUGGUGAAAGCCCCGGGCUUAACCUGGGAAUGGCCAUGGAAACUGGCGAGCUGGAGUCUGGCAGAGGGGGUGGAAUUCCGCGUGUAGCAGUGAAAUGCGUAGAGAUGCGGAGGAACACCGAUGGCGAAGGCAGCCCCCUGGGCUAAGACUGACGCUGGAGGCACGAAAGCGUGGGGAGCAAACAGG